rnacentral:lncRNA from 1 species
ACCCUCCUGAUAAUGACGACGGGGUUUUGCCUGGCCCGAACUAUGUGUGUCGUCUGCAGAACCGGUUAGAAGCGGCUCACACCUUCGCAAGAGAGCAACUCGAGAACGCAGGGGUGCGCCAAAAGCGCCACUACGACUCACGCGCUAGGGGGAGGCACUUUGAAGCGGGAGAAUUUGUGUGGCUUCACAACCCCACGCGCAAGAAGGGGCGGUGCCCAAAGCUGGACAGUGCAUGGGUGGGGCCGUGUCUGGUGAUAGAGAGAGUGGGGGAGGUGACGUACCGGGUGGAGGUCCCUCCACGGAGCAGGAAGGUGGUGGUCCACCGGGACCGAUUGGCACCCUACAGAGGGAGGAAAACGACACAACAGGUUGAGAAAUGUUUCCUGCUGCGGAGGGAAGGCCUAUUACCACAGCAGUGACCAGAUGAAGUGCUGUGCAGAGACUCUGUACAACCUGCAGGUUCAGGACAGACUCUCAGAGGAGGCCCAGUGCUGUGGGAGUGUCCUGAUGGAGGCUGGCUCCACGCAGACCUGCUGCUCUGCCCCAGGGCUAGACCUGGUCUACCCUACCCAGCCAGGGUUCACCUGCUGUGGGCACCGCUACCCCAACUCCUCCCUGUGGUCAUGCUGCGCGGGGGUCCUGUACUCAAGGCCUGAAACACAAACCACCAGCAAGAACAUGAUUCCAGGACCCAGGCUUCUACCACUGGGCGAUCUGAAGACUGAAGUCCUGUGUUACACCGAAGUUCUGCUGGGGACAGUGGAGAGUGUGUCCAUGAAGACGAAUGAGCGGUCCAUCGUGAUGGUGAACGCCAUGUACAUGCUGGCCUCGCGUGGCCAUGUCAACCCCCUGCCUUCCCCUCACUACGUCACAUUACCCGACCACUGCAGCUCCCCUGUAGUGGAGCCGGGCAACACUUACAUCUUGAUGAAAAUACCUUUCUCAGACACCAUAAGAUUCAUCUCUGAUCUCAGCGAUCAUUCCUCCCCUGUCCAUUCCAUCCUUUCCAGGUGCUGAACCUUUUUCUUGCCCAGAGUAAAGCCCUACAUAACGUUUGAAAGCUUUACAGUGUUUGUUUACAGUUACAUUGUUAACAAUCAAUGGCGUAAUAAAAAGCUUAUCUUGGGUUCUGAUGGGGUUCGACAGUUGAACUAAGAUCAUAAGGCACAAGUUAUAUUCUUCCAGAGUCAAUUGGUAUAUAUCGUUCAUUUAAAAGUCAAAAAAUUGCUGUUGCUAUCACAGAUUGCCUCUUUAAGCUAUCAGUAGACAUUUAAACCAUGUUUGUGAAGUGAUUGUAUCACAUUGUGCAAGGACAGGAUAAAAAGCCUAUUUUAACCAAGCAUUUGUGUGUAGGUGUAUGACUUCACCAUUCAUCAAUUCAUGUGGUUGUGUGGGGGUUUGUGGUUUUGUGGUUGCCUUUAUCCCAUCCACAUAUAUGUACCACAUUAUCUGACACUUGAUCACAGGAUCACAUUUUUGUUUUAUUAUUUCACUGCCAAUCUGUGUUUGAUCUUGUCUAGCCAUCUUGUAUCAAGAGGACCACAAAAGUCCUAGACUUUAUUGUGUGUUAUCCUCCAUGAUUAUAUUCAUGUGCAUCUAUGACUUUUAAGUUUUAUGUGUGCUUGUUUUUUUAAAUGGUCGAAUUAAUAAACUAAACUAAAUAAAGGGCACCUAGGGCACUGAGUCUUUGGCUGCGUUUAUGAGCAAAGUGAAAUUAUGAAUAAAAUAUUGUAAAACUGAUAUAUACUGAACAGAAAUAUAAACACAACAUGUAAAGUGUUGGUCCCAUGCCUUAUGAGCUGAAAUAAAAAAUCCCAGAAAUGUUUCCAUAUGCACAAAAAGCUUAUUUCUCUCUAAUGUUGUGCACAACUUUUGUUUACAUCUCCUGUUAAUAAUCACUUCUCAUUUGCCAAGAUAAUCCAUCCACCUGACAAGUGUGGCACAUCAAGAAGCUGAUUAUACAAUAUGAUCAUUACACAGAUGCACCUUGUGCUGGGGACAAUAAAAGGACACUCUAAAAUGUGCAGUUUUGUCACACAACACAAUGCCACAGACGUCUCAACUUUUGAGGGAUGCGCAAUUGGCAUGGU